rnacentral:rRNA from 1 species
CACGAAUUCGUGCGAGCUAACUCUGUUAGAUAAUUAUGUUGCAUAAUAAAAAUAGAAACUAGAGUUAGGGGUGACAUGCCUCUCAAGUGCGAGGAUAUCUUGAAGUAAAUGAAAUAAAUUGAGUUUUAAGGUGGUUGCAAAGUUAUGAGAUUUUGCAAUGUAUUCAAGCUCUAUGUAAAUAGUUCGUAGGUGUAAGAACCUGCAAGAAUGGAUUAUAAGAUUUAUGUAGUGCGUUUAUUAAUUUAGUUUACGGUAGUCCAACUUUAAUAUAUUCAUAAUGUUAGUAUAAGUACUUAAUAGUUAUUAAUAGUGAACUCGGCAAUAAAGCUUUCAACUGUUUAUCAAAAACAUAGCCCUAUGUUGCACAUAUGGUGUGUUCUGCUCAAUGAUAUUUAAAUAGCCGCAGUACCCUGACUGUGCAAAGGUAGCGUAAUCAUUUGUCUUUUAAUUGAAGUCGUGUAUGAAUGAAUACAUGGGGGCUUACUUUACCAUUAAUAUAAUACAAAAUUGCUUAAGGGGUGAAAAAACCCUUGGUUAAAAAAUAGACGAGAAGACCCUUGAAAUUUGCGAGAGUUUUGUUGGGGCAACAUAGUAGAUAAAUCUACUAAAUAGACAAGAAAUGGAUUUGAUUGAAUAAAUUACUCUAGGGAUAACAGCAUAAUUCUUAUGGAGUUUGUGACCUCGAUGUUGGAUUAGGGUACUAUAACUUAAAA